rnacentral:rRNA from 1 species
AGUAACGCGUGAGGAACCUGCCUUCCAGAGGGGGACAACAGUUGGAAACGACUGCUAAUACCGCAUGACACAUGACCGUGGCAUCACGGACAUGUCAAAGAUUUAUCGCUGGAAGAUGGCCUCGCGUCUGAUUAGCUGGUAGGCGGGGUAACGGCCCACCUAGGCGACGAUCAGUAGCCGGACUGAGAGGUUGACCGGCCACAUUGGGACUGAGAUACGGCCCAGACUCCUACGGGAGGCAGCAG